GCACUCAAAGUGGAUAGAAAAUCGUCGUCAUCCGUGGUUAUCAACAAUCUGGCCUGGUCCGAGAAAACCCUCUUGACCACGAAUGAGACACUCAUAAUUGUUUAUCCAUCUGCCCCACGAUCGUCUUGAGGAGGAAGGAUCCUUUUCAACCAAUUCUUCCACGUGGUACGCUCGAGGUCACACUUCUCAGUUAACACCACGCUUCGCUCACUGAGUACAAUUGCCCCAGGUAGAUGC
rnacentral:lncRNA from 1 species